rnacentral:rRNA from 1 species
GGGCCAGGGCUUUGGAGCGCGAUGUCUGAUUAGCUAGUUGGUGAGGUAAUGGCUUACCAAGGCUUCGAUCACGUAGCUGGUCUGAGAGGACGACCAGCCACACUGGGACUGAGACACGGCCCAGACUCCUACGGGAGGCAGCAGUGGGGAAUUUUGGACAAUGGGGGAAACCCUGAUCCAGCCAUGCCGCGUGAGUGAAGAAGGCCUUCGGGUUGUAAAGCUCUUUCAGCCGGAACGAAAAGGUCACGGCUAAUACCCGUGACAAAUGACGGUACCGGAAGAAGAAGCACCGGCUAACUACGUGCCAGCAGCCGCGGUAAUACGUAGGGUGCAAGCGUUAAUCGGAAUUACUGGGCGUAAAGCGUGCGCAGGCGGUUUUGUAAGUCAGAUGUGAAAUCCCCGGGCUUAACCUGGGAACUGCGUUUGAAACUACAAAAGCUAGA